UUCCCUGCGCCAGAGCUCCGUAUUCCAAGAGCAGACACAGCUGCGGUGUGUCCAAGGGCUGGACUCCACCACUGUCCCUUGUCUGCCCACGUCCAACCAGACGAAUGGCGUCCAGGAAGUCCUAGUCUCCAAUGUCUUUCGGCAUUUCUGAAGAACGUUCUACAGGGGCAAAUUGGGGAUGUUCCGGGGAGAAAGAGAAAUGCUAAGCAUGGUUAAACACAUUUGGAAGACACCAGAGAAGACAGAGGGUGCCUGCCCUGAGACAGCUAGACUACACAGCCACACAUGCGCCAGGACACUCACAUGAUGCUUCCCAUCUCACCACUCAGUGCUUCCAAACAGAACUGAUUCCCUUCCCCAGUGAGGACACCUGGAGUCAAACCUUUCUGGUCUUCCCGGCCCUCCGGGUUGCCCUUUCCUUUGACUCAGGCCUGCUCUGUACUUUUCUUUGCCACCAUGCUGGUUUACUGUUGCAGAACCUUCUGUACUCCUCCGGAGGCUACCCAGUCCUGAUGACUGUGAUAAAAGGUACUGGAUCAUCACAGCACAUCUCUCUGAAAAUACUCUGUCCGCGAAAGAACCGUUGUCCGAGGACUCCUCCAUUCUUGGACCGCAUUCCGACAGACUGGGACUUAAACCCCAUGUGCGGUGCCACACAUCUGUAAUCACAACAUUCAGGAAGUGGAUGCAGGGGGAUGAGUAGUCAGUCCAUGGUCAUCUUUGGCUACAUAGAGCAUUUCUAAACUACAACCACAAAUACACACGUACGGGGAUACAGAGACAUAUUUAUGAUCAUAUCCCUCCAUCUGAAAAAACUGUGAUACGCUGAACAUACUUUUCAUACUUUCGUAGUAUAUCUGUGGGUCAUUCUUCUUUAUACAGCAUGAGGUGAAGUUAGUUCUCAUUUUGUGGGUACAACCAGAAUAUA